rnacentral:rRNA from 1 species
UACGUAGGGUGCAAGCGUUAAUCGGAAUUACUGGGCGUAAAGCGUGCGCAGGCGGUUUUGUAAGUCUGUCGUGAAAGCCCCGGGCUCAACCUGGGAAUUGCGAUGGAGACUGCAAGGCUUGAAUCUGGCAGAGGGGGGUAGAAUUCCACGUGUAGCAGUGAAAUGCGUAGAGAUGCGGAGGAACACCGAUGGCGAAGGCAGCCUCCUGGGAUAACACUGACGCUCAUGCACGAAAGCGUGGGGAGCAAACAGG